rnacentral:lncRNA from 1 species
UGGAGAUUCUCCCUGGUCCUCCUCUUACUGUUGAUAUACUUGUAAAAGAGUUUCUUGUUCCCUUUCACCCCAGCAGCCAGGUUGAGUUCAAUGGUUGAGAUGGGCACCAGGGAAAAGGAGGAUGAGAUAGGUAUGUGAACUGGGGUUUCCAGUGGAGAGGAACAAGAUGAGCUGAAGAGGUGAUUCAAGAUAGCUGGCGUGGCUUUGUUAAGGG